rnacentral:lncRNA from 1 species
ACAGUGGAAUUUCCUGUAUUAGCACUGCAUAGGACUGGAUUUAUUUUGUAGUCCUUGAGAUUUGAGCUUCAUGGAUUUUACAGCCUUUAUGUGCCACAAAACAAAGAUUUGGUUUCUACCGAGGCUUUGCAGAAAGGAUUACCAUCUGCUGACUUGUUGGUCUACCAAAGACUGAUGCUCUCCAAGACUGCAGGUGACCCUGACCAGGAUUAUCUCACUGAAGGCUUGCUGGGAGGACUGACCAAAGCUCAGUGUGAUACAUCAGUGCUCCUCACCUGAAAGUGGGCAGCUUGGAUUGCUCUACUAUUGCCAUAAGAAGGCACAGACUUUGGAAGCAGCAACUCUUUCCUCUUACAAAUUUGCAGUGUAUUCUCCUUUUUUCCAUUCUGUACCAUUGAGCAUGAUGACGGAAAUGCUGCUGUUGGCUUAUUCCCUACCGUCACAACAGAAGGGGACAGGAGGGAAAAGUCUUUGCUCAGCUUUUUGUUAUGAACCAUCUUCAUCCAUGAUACGGCAUCUGCACUAUGGAAUUCCCCCUGAAUGAAAGGCAAUGAUAAUGUCUUCACCUCCUGAAGACAGGACACAGCUCUCAGACCGAAAAGCCGCUGCUGAGUAGCUUUUUGAAAUCUCCACAACUAUCAGACCUGGAAGAUUUUUCCAUCAUGCUGGCCUGGGCUAGGCAUUUGGUGGACAGGCUGUCUCUGACAGAAGAAUACAGUUCAUCAAAAGUGUCUGCAGGUUGUCAAACUCAGUGAGAUUUGGGGACACUCGGAGGCUGUCAUGGCCAACAAGAAGAUUUUCUGUAGGGUUCUGCCAUCAUUCACCCUCAGGAAAUAAUCACUCACUACAUUCUGCAUGCUCUCAUGAUAGAGCUCUAUUUGAGAGAAAAGAGCCAUUUUAUCAAAGGACAAUAUAUCCCUUCUCUUGGUCCAUGCAGCUUCCAUUAUCAGACCAUAAUAAAUCAUAUUUAUGUUCUCAGUUAAUAAGACUGAUUACAAUGCAGGUUACAGGCAUGGGAAAAGCAAAGCAGGUGAAAAGAUGUUUUAAUGAAAAUAUGAUAAGCAAACAGCUUCUUGUGAACAUUUCAGGCUGUUAUUUGUAAUGAUCACAGGCAAUUUUUGAUACAUCUUCUUUAGCAAUGGUUUAAGCUGCAUAAAUUGGCUUGCCACUUUAUACGUCGAAAUAGGAAGAAUCCCGGUGUCCUUCUUAUGUUGUCUAGAAUCAUUAUAUACAUUAUAAGCAUAAAAUGAGUUUAAUGUAUGUGCUUUGAAAAGAAGGGGAAAACAGAAAAUCAGGGAGGACUGAUUUUAAUGCUGCUCAAAAUGAUUUUGAAAUUUUCUGCUCAUCUUUGUUACUAACAGUGCAUUUUCCAUGAAAUUUAGGAAUGACAUGUGGUGCUUUCAUCUCCUUAAAAUUAAUAUACUUCUCUUUCUGUUUUUCUCAAUUUCUUCAAAGUUCUUUUUAGAACACUGUGCAAAAAGACAGAGAGAAAAUUCUCCACUUGAUGUGUGAACAUAUCUGUUAUUAAUGCUGGGGGGAGUUAAGUGUGUGCUUCUAGAGGAGAAUAUACCCUUGCAUUAAAUAUUGAUAUAAACCGUAUUAAAGAGGUGCAAGGAUAUUUAGCUGCAGCACACCUGAUGCAUUCAAGGGCCAAAUUCCUUAGAAUCUUUUAAAGUGAUUAAGAUCUCUUCUGUUAAGAGUUCUCCAAUGAUUUCGGAGUAUAACUGUAUCUAAAUAGCCGAUGAAAUGUCCUGCUCUUGUCUUUUGAAAAGCUUUCUUUUAUGUUUUAUUGUUGUUUUCUUUUUUUUUGUUGUAGUCAUCUGGUUUAUGUUGAGCAUCAUAUUUUCAAGACAAAGUUAAAAAUUCAAAGAAUAAUUUCUUCCUGCUAGCACAUAGUGCUGACUGAGUAUUUCAAAAUCUACAGCACUUGCAGAAUGCAAGCAUUAUGCUUAUAAUUUAUAUAAUGAUUCUAGACAAUAUAAGAAGGGCACUGGGAUUCUUCCUAUUUUGAUAUAUAAGGUGGCGAGCAAAUGCAGAAGUCUCCAUGAUGUUGUGUGUCUGCAGGAAAUGAUCUGGUCACUGAUACUUCUAAACUCUCUUAAACAAAUGUUAAAGCUUUGUAAUGGACCUGGCAAUGGAGCAUGACCAUGAAAUUCCCUUAACCCUUUUAGGGCACUUCAGCAGGNNNNNNNNNNAGAAGUGAUCACAUAAGAAACAAUAAACUGCUCUUCAAAGGCA